rnacentral:rRNA from 1 species
GGGCCCGCACAAGCGGUGGAGUAUGUGGUUUAAUUCGAUGCAACGCGAAGAACCUUACCAGGGCUUAAAUGCAGAACGACCGGCGUGGAAACAUGCCUUUCUUCGGACUACUUACAAGGUGCUGCAUGGUUGUCGUCAGCUCGUGCCGUGAGGUGUCAGGUUAAGUCCUAUAACGAGCGCAACCCCUAUCGUUAGUUGCCAUCAAGUAAAGUUGGGAACUCUAGCGAAACUGCCGGUGCAAACCGUGAGGAAGGUGGGGAUGACGUCAAAUCAUCACGGCCCUUACGUUCUGGGCUACACACGUGCUACAAUGGUCGGUACAGAAAGCAGCCACUAUGCGAAUAGGAGCUAAUCUUUAAAACCGAUCUCAGUUCGGAUCGCAGUCUGCAACUCGACUGCGUGAAGCUGGAAUCGCUAGUAAUCGGAUAU